CCUACGGGAGACAGCAGUGAGGAAUAUUGGUCAAUGGACGAGAGUCUGAACCAGCCAAGUAGCGUGAAGGAUGACUGCCCUAUGGGUUGUAAACUUCUUUUAUAUGGGAAUAAAAUGUUCCACGUGUGGGAUUUUGUAUGUACCAUAUGAAUAAGGAUCGGCUAACUCCGUGCCAGCAGCCGCGGUAAUACGGAGGAUCCGAGCGUUAUCCGGAUUUAUUGGGUUUAAAGGGAGCGUAGGUGGAUUGUUAAGUCAGUUGUGAAAGUUUGCGGCUCAACCGUAAAAUUGCAGUUGAAACUGGCAGUCUUGAGUACAGUAGAGGUGAGCGGAAUUCGUGGUGUAGCGGUGAAAUGCUUAGAUAUCACGAAGAACUCCGAUUGCGAAAGCAGUUCACUGGACUGCAACUGACACUGAGGCUCGAAAGUGUGGGUAUCAAACAGGAUUAGAUACCCCUGUAGUC
rnacentral:rRNA from 1 species